rnacentral:rRNA from 1 species
UUAAGCAUAUCAAUAAGCGGAGGAAAAGAAACCAACAGGGAUUGCCCCAGUAACGGCGAGUGAAGCGGCAACAGCUCAAAUUUGAAAUCUGGCUUCGGCCCGAGUUGUAAUUUGUAGAGGAUGCUUUUGGUGCGGUGCCUUCUGAGUUCCCUGGAACGGGACGCCAUAGAGGGUGAGAGCCCCGUAUAGUUGGACACCAAACCUCUGUAAAGCUCCUUCGACGAGUCGAGUAGUUUGGGAAUGCUGCUCAAAAUGGGAGGUAAAUUUCUUCUAAAGCUAAAUACCGGCUAGAGACCGAUAGCGCACAAGUAGAGUGAUCGAAAGAUGAAAAGCACUUUGAAAAGAGGGUUAAACAGUACGUGAAAUUGUUGAAAGGGAAGCGCUUAUGACCAGACUUGCGCCCGGUGAAUCAUCCAGCGUUCUCGCUGGUGCACUUUGCCGGGUUCAGGCCAGCAUCGGUUUCCUUAGGGGGAUAAAAGCUUCAGGAACGUAGCUCUUUCGGGAGUGUUAUAGCCUGUUGCAUAAUACCUUUCAGGGGACCGAGGUUCGCGCUCUGCAAGGAUGCUGGCGUAAUGGUCAUCAGCGACCCGUCUUGAAACACGGACCAAGGAGUCAAGCAUUAGGGCGAGUGUUUGGGUGUUAAACCCGCACGCGUAAUGAAAGUGAAUGUAGGUGAGAGCUUCGGCGCAUCAUCGACCGAUCCUGAUGUAUUCGGAUGGAUUUGAGUAAGAGCCUUACCGCUUGGACCCGAAAGAUGGUGAACUAUGCCUGUAUAGGGUGAAGCCAGAGGAAACUCUGGUGGAGGCUCGCAGCGGUUCUGACGUGCAAAUCGAUCGUCAAAUAUGGGCAUGGGGGCGAAAGACUAAUCGAACCAUCUAGUAGCU